GCCUGGAUGGUUCAGUGGUAGAACGAGUACUUGGUAAGUACUAGGUCGGGGGUCCGAUUCCCCCUCCAGGCUCAA
rnacentral:tRNA from 5 species